UUGCGCCUCUGCACUCCAGCCUGGGUGACAGAACGAGACUCCAUCUCAACAACAACAACAACAACAACAAAUGCGACACAUAAGGUUUUGUGGUUGUUUCUUGAGGCCUUCCUGCCAGCAGCAUUUCUUUCCAUCUUUGUAGACUCUUUUCAACUAAAGAUAAGCUUAGAAUUGAAUAAAAUUUUUCUUUUUCUUUGUUUCCUCCUUGAUAUAUAUGUUUUCAAACCUAGUGCUAUAAAUAAUAAAAAAGUAAGAGUCACAGGCUAGAUAUUAUAGGUGUUCUAUAUUGUUUGUGAUAUAUUGUUUGUGAAUGGAUAGGCUUAAUGCUACUACAAAUUUCAACUUACUGCAUUUUUCAGUCCUCUUUUGGUUUUGUUAUAUCUUCCCAUAUCACUUUUUCUUCAGAUGAACAUGUAAAAGGAGUGUGUGUGUGUGUGUGGGUAGACACCUAACCUGUGUGGUAAGACCUUCUUUUAAACUUUUGGUUUUAUGGAUGUUGACUGGCUGGGCAGAUUUCUUGACUCAGUUCGGAAGAUCAUUUGUUAUUGUGGAUAACUAGGGACAAAGGGCAUAAUAGUUUCAAAGGCAAGAAAUAAAAAUAAUUAGACAUGGAGCAUUGGGAAAUGUGAUUUACAUAUUUAUUAAGGAUACCCUGAGAAUGAACUGAAAUUGUUAUCUAUAGUUUAGGGUUUGUCUCAAUACUAACAGUGACUAAAUGUUUUUGUUGUGUGACACUAAGAAUUAUAUUUGAUGGAAGCAGGCUUUGAAAAUGCAAUUGAAGCCCAGAUAAAGUAGAAUACUUUGAAUUCAGCUUUUAAAGAAAGACGCAGACUUUCUUUAAAACAGACUUUCUUCAUUCUUGUGCAGAGAUAUGCUUUGCAGGCCCAGGAGAUACAAGACUUCUGUUUUCCUGCUGACCUUCAUCUGUGGAACACAGAGGCUGAUAAACUCUUCGCCUCUAAUCUUUACUGGACCAAACGAAAUUCUUCUGUCCAUUCUCGUCUUUCAAAGCCUAUUUAGAUAGACAAGAACUUAAUGUUAAUUUUAAAAGCCUUCAAGUGGUUUGACUUUUCUUCAAAUAUUGACAAAACAUGUUGGAGGUGUAUCAUUUUAUUUGAGAUUUAUAAUUAUCUUUAGUCUACAGGACUUAGGAUUACUCAUUAGAUUGUGCAACAUAAAAAAAUAAAUAAAAUGUAGAGUUUACACAUAAAUUUUCCCAUAAAUGGAUUUCCUGUAAACAUUUUCCCAACUCCAUGCCCUCAUAUAGGUACACAGUCUUAUGUUGCUUAACCAUGGGAAUACGUUCUGAGAAGUGUGUCGUUAGGCGAUUUUGUUGUGCAAAAUCAUAGAGUGUACGUACACAAACCUAGAUGGUAUAGCCUACUACACACAUAGGCUAUAUGGUAUAGCCUAUUGCUUCUAGUCUGCAAGCCUAUACAGCAUGUUACUCUACUAAAUACUGAAGGUAGUUAUAGCACAACAGUAACUAUUUGUGUAUCUAAAUAUAGAAAAGAUAGGUCAAAAUAUGGCAAAAAGGAGGUAGGGGCAACACUCCGGAGGAAAGAUGGAAGACUACCAGGCUGCCGAGGAGACUGCUUUUGUCGUUGAUGAGUUGAGCAGAUUGUAAAAGAGGCUAUAGAAAGCGCAAUUGGUGGUAACGCUUAUCAACACAGCAAAGUGAAUCAGUGGACCACAAAUGUAGUAGAACAAACUUCAAGCCAACUCACCAAGCUGGGAAAACCACUGAAAUACGUUGUGACCUGUGUAAUUAUGCAAAAGAACGCAGCUGGAUUACACACAGCAAGUUCCUGCUUCUGGGACAGCUCUGCUGACAGGAGCUGCACCAUGCGAUGGGAGAAUAAAACCAUGUACUGCAUCGUCAGUGCCUUUGAACUGGGUAUUGGACCUCGUAGUCCAGCCUGUGACCUUCCUCCGGUAGUUCAUCUUCUAACACCAGCUAUGAAUUCAGUGAACUCUUUUCUCGUUCUUUUUAAUUCUGUUUUGUGGCACUCUCAAAAUGUAGAGGAAAAAAACAAAUGACUGCACUGUUACAUGAACUGUGCACUAAACUCAGAUGAGUAUCCCUGUAGGUCACCUGCAGCCUGCGUUGCCACUUGUCACUCUGAAUAUUUCUUUUCAAAGGUGCUAAAAUCUGAAAUCUUCUAGUGUGAAACUUGCUAUCCUCUCUGAAAUGAUUCAAAUACACUAAUUUUCCAUACUUUAUACUUUUGUUAGAAUAAAUUAUUCAAAUCUAAAAAAAUAUGAUAUGAAGAAUAAAUAAUGGUUCCCUGAGAGAAGGCACGUAUCAUGAAUGGAGCUUACAGGACUAGAAGUUGCUCUGGAUGAGUCAGUCAGUGAGUGCACGAGACAAUUUCUGUAUGUGGGUGUGGAUGUGCCAAACCACCUGAAAGUAAGUUAUAUCAUGCAUUUUAUUCUAAACACUUCAGUGCGUAUCUCCCAAGAAAAAGACCAUUCUUCUACAUAACCACAAUAUCUUUACCACACCUAAAAAAAAAACAAGAAUGUCAUCUUUGAGUAUCCCCAUUCCAAAAAUUCAAAACCCGAAACGCUCCACAAUAUGAAACAUUACCAGAACCAGUAUGACCCAAGUUGAAAAUUCAGCUGACCUUAUGCGAUGGGUCACAUUCAAAAUGCAGGUGCACCACACCUUGUUUAUUCAGUGUUCCCAAGGUAUAAAAGACCCUUGUACCCCCUUUAGCUGCAAUAUAUCUUUUCCACACAUGCCCAGAUUUUCCCCACAUAAGCAUGCCUACAAAGGGUAAUAAAAUGGCAUGUAUGCAGGUCAGAUAUGCUAAUGACAGAUUCCACACUAUACCCCACAUGGGGUCAAGACCUACCUGUAUUACUCAUUAUAUAUUUUUUGUUUGUUUGCUGAUUUUUUGCUCAGUAGCUUAAAGAUAAUGUUGAAAAUGUCAAAGAGGCCUGCAGAUACCCCUAGAAAGACAGCAGUUCGUUAAAGGGGAAGUGUUUAUUUUUAUAGCACAGAAAGUCAAGCUGUUAGAGAAACUGGACAAUGGUGUAAGUGCGAAAUGUCUUACAGAAAAGUGUGGUGUUGGUAUGACCACCAUAUAUGACCUGAAGAAACAGAAGGAGAAACUGCUGAAGUUCUGUGCUGAAAGUGAUGAACAAAAGUUACUGACAAAUAGAAAAACACCACCUAUAGCUGAAAAUGAAGAUCUUGAUAAUGAAUUGAAAGAAUGGAUCUGUCAGACUCGCAGGGAACACAUGCCACUUGAUAGUAUGCUCGUCAUGAAAUGAGCAUCUACCAUGAUGAACUGAAAACUGAAGGGAACCGUGAAGAUUCAACAGGCUGGUUACAGAAAUUUAAGAAAAAACAUAGCAUUCGCUUUUUAAAGAUUUCUGGUGAUAAAGCAUCUGCCGAUCAUGAAGCAGUGGAGAACUUCAUUGAUGAGUUCGCCUGGGAUAGUGAUGAUGAAAAUUCAACAUCAGAACAGGUAUAAUGCUGAGGAAAUACCACUGUUUUGGCAUGAUUGCCCCAGAAAGACACUACAGCUGUUGAGACAGCCCCUGCAGGAUUUAAGGAUGCCGAGGGCAGAAAAACUGUAACGGGAUGUGUUAAUGCAGUAGGCACGUAUAGGUAUAAAUCUGUAGGAGGCAAAAGCUUGCAUCCUUCCUGUUUGCAAGAAGUGAAUGUCUUACCAGUGCAUUAUUAUGCUAAUCAAAAGGCCUGGAUCACUCGUGAUACCUUUUCUGAUUGGUUUCAUAAAUGUUUUGUACCGGUGCCUUAUGCUUAUUGCAGGGAAGCUGGACUGAAAGAAGACUGAAAGAUUUUGUUAUCCAUUGACAACUGUUCUCCUUAUACUGCAACCGAAAUUCUCAUAAAAAACAAUGUUUAUGCCAUGUACUUUCACCCAAAUGUGACUUCAUUAAUUCAGCCAUGUGACCAGGAUAUGCUUAUAUCAGUGAAGGGUAAAUAUAAAAACACUUUCUUGAACGUCAUGCUAGCAGCAGUGAACAGAGGUGUGGGUGUGGGAGGUUUGCAGAAGGCAUUUAGCAUGAAGGGUGUCUCAUAUGCUGUUGCCAGGACUUGGCCAUCAGUGAUGUAAGACGCAGUUGUGCAUGCUUGGCAUAACCUUUGGCCUGUGACUAUUCAGUGGUGGUGGUGGUGAUGAUGAUGAUGAUGAAGAAGAAGAACAAGGUAGUGACUUGGGAUGGAUUCCAUAUAUUAAAGUGAGAAAAAAAUGAUAUCUGACCUCCUUUUAUAUGCAAAAAAUACAUCUUUCGAGUCUGUCAGUAAACUGAAAGAAGUGGAUAUCAAGGUAAUAUUUUUAUUACCAAAUAAUGAAGCUUCAGGUUUUCAUUUAUUGACCAAUGAUGAAAUAGCUGAAAUGAUUCUGAAUCAAGUGAUGAUGAAGAUGACGUUAACACCGAGGAAGAAAUGCCCAUAGAAAGAGCACACAUUCUGCAUAUCAAAAGAAACUGUCAACAGAGUAAACGGACAACCUACAGAGUGGAAGGAAAUACAUACAAACUAUGCAUCUCACAAAGUUCCAAUAUCCCGCAUCUAUAAUGAACUUAAAUUUAUAAGAAAGAAAACAACCUCAUUAAAAAGUGAGUGAAGGACACGAACAGACACUUUUCAAAAGAA